AGCAUUUGUUGACCAUCUCACAGCAGUCAGACAGAAGCCCAGUAUGAAGUUAACAAUUUCUCUCACAGGUAAGCGAUCUAACAUUCUCACACACACACCUACACUGAUGUAUGUUCACUAUGGGUAUAUGAUUACUUUCUGCUGCAUGUGCAUCUACAUUUCUGUGUCUGUGUGCCUGUUACACAAAGGCUUAGGGUCUGCUCCAUCUCUUCACUACAGCUUUCAUGGGAUUUUUCUGGGUCCUGCCCUCAGAGGUCUCUACAGGUGUGUGUGUGUAUAUCUGCCUGCCUACAUGAUUUUUCAACAUUUCCUAAUGUCUCUAACAUCAAUUGUUAUUGUCUAGAUAAUACACAGGUGCCAUCUCCCAGAAUUAUCCAGCCCAUAAGGUCCAGAAUAGGAGCUGUUCUAGGAAAGCGGUUGGUUAUUGAAUGUACGGCAGACCCAGGCCUUCCUGAUGAAUUUGCCCUUGUCUACUGGCUGGUCAACGGCACAUUCCCAAAUGUAGCCUCCACUGAUGGCAGAGUGUCAGAAACAGAAGAGUCAGUUUUAGAGGACGGCAGGGUGAUCCAGAGGAGUCUGGUGUUUAAGAGCGUGACUGCAGAGGACUUCAGGUCCACCUUUACCUGUGUGAUAAACAGCCCAGCUGGGCUUGACCAAAGGACUUUCACACUGGCCAAUCACAAGGCUCUAUUUCCCCCUCCUUCACCCACUCCCAAAACCGAGGAGAGAACAAUGAGAAAAGACACAGGAAAAGGGAUCACAGGAAAAAGGAUCACAGCAAAACACACUAGCAAGAAAUGAGAAGACGGAUGGACUUAGUCCACUCAUGUAUCAUCCAUAGUUAAGUGAAAAAGACAAUGAACACUUAUUGACAACAAUCCCUUCUAUUGCUGUAUCUCGUGGCAAUAGUCAAGUAUGGAUUAUAAUGCAAUAAUCUAGAGGAUUAAAAAAAACUGACUAAGAAAAGAUGGAUGAAAAAGAAUAUUCAAAUUGUGACCAUACACAUUUAUUUAAUGAACUGACUCUCAGAACUAUGUAACCUAGGUUAAAGACAAUUUAGUUCAAGGGAACUUCUCUUCAUCUACUGUUAUUCUUUCACAUCUCUGUUAGAAAUGGAUUAAGUUUUGUUUUAUAACAAAGCAACACCAUACAUGUCCUGGAAGUAGGCAGCCAUUGCAAAUAAGAUUGCAUCAUGUCAUUUGUGUAAACCUUGUAAACACAUCCCAAUCAUUGAUAAGUGUGUUUACAUUAGCUCACUAUUUAUGUAAAGCAUCAUAAUGACAAUGUUAUAUUUUGUGUAUAGUCAAUACAUGUGUAAUGGCCUAUAAAUAUACAUUUCAAUGGCUUAAUUGGUUUCAUACGUCCCUUUUACUCUUAUUUUGAUAACCCCUCACUGUAGCCCAGUGACCUCACUUCCCCUCUUAGUAGUAUAGUGUACUGCUACUGCCACCUUGUGGCUGCUUUUUACAUUACAGAUUUGCACUUUUCCACAGUUAUUACUUUUUUGUUACAAAGCAACCCUGAAGUAUCCAUAUGUUUCUUCCCCAAUUCCAUUAACCUAACAACACUCUUUGUCUUUAUAAAUACUGUCAUCAGAGUA
ensembl:lncRNA